rnacentral:rRNA from 1 species
GGAUUAGAUACCCUGGUAGUCCACGCCGUAAACGAUGUCGACUAGCCGUUGGGAUCCUUGAGAUCUUAGUGGCGCAGCUAACGCAUUAAGUCGACCGCCUGGGGAGUACGGCCGCAAGGUUAAAACUCAAAUGAAUUGACGGGGGCCCGCACAAGCGGUGGAGCAUGUGGUUUAAUUCGAAGCAACGCGAAGAACCUUACCAGGCCUUGACAUGCUGAGAACCUGCCAGAGAUGGCGGGGUGCCUUCGGGAACUCAGACACAGGUGCUGCAUGGCUGUCGUCAGCUCGUGCCG